rnacentral:rRNA from 1 species
UUGAUUGUUGAUCCUGGCUCAGGAUGAACGCUAGCGGCAGGCUUAACACAUGCAAGUCGAGGGGUAGAGGAAGCUUGCUUCCUUGAGACCGGCGCACGGGUGCGUAACGCGUAUGCAACCUACCUUUUACAGAGGGAUAGCCCAGAGAAAUUUGGAUUAAUACCCCCAUGGUAUAUAUCAUUCGCAUGUUUGAUAUAUUAAAGUUCCAACGGUAAAAGAUGGGCAUGCGUCCUAUUAGCUAGAUGGUAAGGUAACGGCUUACCAUGGCAACGAUAGGUAGGGGUCGGAGAGGGAGAUCCCCCACACUGGUACUGAGACACGGACCAGACUCCUACGGGAGGCAGCAGUGAGGAAUAUUGGACAAUGGGCGCAAGCCUGAUCCAGCCAUGCCGCGUGCAGGAAGAAGCAUCUAUGGUGUGUAAACUGCUUUUGUACGGGAAGAAACACUCCUUCGUGAAGGAGCUUGACGGUACCGUAAGAAUAAGGAUCGGCUAACUCCGUGCCAGCAGCCGCGGUAAUACGGAGGAUCCAAGCGUUAUCCGGAAUCAUUGGGUUUAAAGGGUCCGUAGGCGGUUUGGUAAGUCAGUGGUGAAAGCCCGCAGCUCAACUGUGGAACGGCCAUUGAUACUGCCAGACUUGAAUUACAAGGAAGUAACUAGAAUAUGUAGUGUAGCGGUGAAAUGCUUAGAUAUUACAUGGAAUACCAAUUGCGAAGGCAGGUUACUACUUGUGGAUUGACGCUGAUGGACGAAAGCGUGGGGAGCGAACAGGAUUAGAUACCCUGGUAGUCCACGCCGUAAACGAUGGAUACUAGCUGUUGGGGGCAACUUCAGUGGCUAAGCGAAAGUGAUAA